UCCAACUAGGUUUAAGAAUUCUAAAAUCAAGGGGAGGUUCUGUCAAAAUACAAACUGGAAACUAGAGAUAAUCUUGAAAGAACAACUAACCUCUAGACGACUGACCACUAAUCCCUCACUAAUCCCUUGCACUAGUGUUGUUUUUAUUUUUAAGCAUUUGUUGCAGGAUGAAGAGCUAGGCAAAAGGAAUAGCGAACAAGGUCAC
rnacentral:lncRNA from 1 species